rnacentral:rRNA from 1 species
UACAGAGGGUGCAAACGUUGCUCGGAAUUAUUGGGCGUAAAGCGCAUGUAGGCGGCCUAGUAAGUUCGCUGUGAAAGCCCUUGGCUCAACCAAGGAAGUGCAGCGAAAACUGCUAAGCUCGAGUUCUGAAGAGGGUCGCGGAAUGGCCAGUGUAGAGGUGAAAUUCGUAGAUAUUGGCUAGAACACCAGUGGCGAAGGCGGCGACCUGGGAAGAUACUGACGCUGAGAUGCGAAAGCGUGGGGAGCAAACAGG